GCGAAAGUAGCUCAGUUGGUAGAGCUCCAGCCUUCCAAGCUGGUUGUCGCGAGUUCGAGCCUGUCUUUCGCUCUA
rnacentral:tRNA from 1 species